rnacentral:rRNA from 1 species
AAAUUGAAGAGUUUGAUCAUGGCUCAGAUUGAACGCUGGCGGCAGGCCUAACACAUGCAAGUCGAACGGUAACAGGAAGCAGCUUGCUGUUUCGCUGACGAGUGGCGGACGGGUGAGUAAUGUCUGGGAAACUGCCUGAUGGAGAGGGAUAACUACUGGAAACGGUAGCUAAUACCGCAUAACGUCGCAAGACCAAAGAGGGGGACCCUCGGGCCUCUUGCCAUCGGAUGUGCCCAGAUGGGAUUAGCUUGUUGGUGGGGUAACGGCUCACC